rnacentral:rRNA from 1 species
CCUAGGGGGGCAGCAGUGGGGAAUAUUGGACAAUGGGCGAAAGCCUGAUCCAGCCAUGCCGCGUGUGUGAAGAAGGCCUUCGGGUUGUAAAGCACUUUCAGUGGGGAAGAAAGCCUUGGGGCUAAUACCCUCGAGGAAGGACAUCACCCACAGAAGAAGCACCGGCUAACUCCGUGCCAGCAGCCGCGGUAAUACGGAGGGUGCGAGCGUUAAUCGGAAUUACUGGGCGUAAAGCGCGCGUAGGCGGUCUGAUAAGCCGGUUGUGAAAGCCCCGGGCUCAACCUGGGAACGGCAUCCCGGAACUGUCAGGCUAGAGUGCAGGAGAGGAAGGUAGAAUUCCCGGUGUAGCGGUGAAAUGCGUAGAGAUCGGGAGGAAUACCAGUGGCGAAGGCGGCCUUCUGGACUGACACUGACGCUGAGGUGCGAAAGCGUGGGUAGCAAACAGGAUUAGAUACCCGAGUAGUC